ensembl:lncRNA
CUCUUUCUUCACUCCAACAUGGGGCGGCAGCUGAGCUGCGGGAUCUAGGAUCGCACCCCUCCCGGGCACCUGUCAGAGCAGGGGGGCAACAUUUGCCCGCAUCACCACUGUCCCACUGACAUCCAAAUUCAUGCAGCAGCCAGAUCACCACUCCUUGCAGCUAAUGAAAGUCUUCCGAAGUAGAAGAGGAGCUUUGCCACAAAACAUUAACAAUGACAAGGAUGCUGCCAUUGAAACUAAAAGAACUCGUGUACUGAAAGCACGAAUUGUUUAUCUCAGUGAAGACCCCGAAACUCUCAUAAAGGAGGACACUGAUGACAACCAUUCGGCGAUGCGGCAGAUGAUCCUGGGAAUCUUCACCAUUAAGAUGGAAGCUGCAGAACCCACAGAUGACCUUGAAGGUGUUGGAAUAAUCACUGGAGGUGUCCAAGUGCUUCAUGACCUUGGGAAGGGGGCUCCCAGCUCUGACUGCGACACACUGGCCACCUGUCCAGGGUGUACCUCACCUCUCGCCCUAAGACAGCUGGAGAAUGGAUGGAUGGAUGGACAGGGAAGUGUGAAAAAUAAAAAAUGGAGAAUGUAACAAAGAUUGGCAUGAAAGACGGGCAAUAAGAGAUGUCACAAGGGUUGCGUACCUUAAGUAAUUAUUUUCUGUUUCUCCAAAACUUGGUAUGUGUAGUUCCUUUCUGCUACAGAGUCCAUUUGUUGUUGGUUUGCUUUUUAAACAGGAUUUGACACAAUAUUAACACAGCAUAGAAAAUCACCAGCUAUAAUCUUAUUAAUGUAAGAGUGAAAUAGAACCACUUUUCUCACUUAUUUACUGUUUAGUGAAAACUGUUAAACAUUAUGCCCAAUAAAGAAGAAGGAAAAUGUUUAUUGAUACUCAGAGAUAUGCUUCAUUAGUAAUAAAUGUUUGUUCCACAAAACUAAAGUGCUGUAACUUAACUACAUGUCCUGGUUUAGUAAAUCAACUUUAAACUACUACGGUUAUACCAGUUAAAACAGGUUAAGUAAAAUAAAAUCCAGUGCCAC